GGGGGGGGGCGGACAGUUCGAGAGGUGUUGGCCCUCACUAAAGCCAACGUCCCCAGUCUAGUCUUCUUAAGCGAGACUAGGCAAGAUGUAGUGAGAAUGGAAAAGCUGAAGUGGAGAUUGGGAUUAAAAGGAUUCCAUGGUGUGAGUUCGGAUGGAAGAAGUGGUGGUUUGGCCCUCUUUUGGGAUGAAACCCUUAAGGUGAUUGUCUUGGAUUCGUGCAGUCGCUAUAUUGAUGUUCAUGUCGAUGAUGUGGGUGGUGGGACCUCAUGGAGAGGAACCUUUGUGUAUGGAGAGCCUAGAACGGAAAACAGACACCUAAUGUGGGAUCAUCUAGCUCGGCUCAGGGCAAGCUCGCAGGAUCCGUGGUUGGUUUUGGAGAUUUCAACAAAGCUAUGUGGCAACAUGAGCAUCUUUCCAGGACUUUGA
rnacentral:rRNA from 1 species